rnacentral:rRNA from 1 species
UUGAACGCUGGCGGCAGGCCUAACACAUGCAAGUCGAGCGGAUGAAGGGAGCUUGCUCCUGGCUUCAGCGGCGGACGGGUGAGUAAUGCCUAGGAAUCUGCCUGGUAGUGGGGGAUAACGUCCGGAAACGGGCGCUAAUACCGCAUACGUCCUGAGGGAGAAAGUGGGGGAUCUUCGGACCUCUCGCUAUCAGAUGAGCCUAGGUCGGAUUAGCUAGUUGGUGGGGUAAAGGCCUACCAAGGCGACGAUCCGUAACUGGUCUGAGAGGAUGAUCAGUCACACUGGAACUGAGACACGGUCCAGACUCCUACGGGAGGCAGCAGUGGGGAAUAUUGGACAAUGGGCGAAAGCCUGAUCCAGCCAUGCCGCGUGUGUGAAGAAGGUCUUCGGAUUGUAAAGCACUUUAAGUUGGGAGGAAGGGCAGUAAGUUAAUACCUUGCUGUUUUGACGUUACCAACAGAAUAAGCACCGGCUAACUUCGUG